rnacentral:rRNA from 1 species
GAUGAACGCUGGCGGCGUGCUAACACAUGCAAGUCGAACGAAGCACCUUAGACAGAAGCCUUCGGGCGGAAGACUUUGGUGACUUAGUGGCGGACGGGUGAGUAACGCGUGGGUAACCUGCCCUGUACCGGGGGACAACAGUUGGGAACGACUGCUAAUACCGCAUAAGCGCACAGCAUCGCAUGAUGCAGUGUGAAAAACUCCGGUGGUACAGGAUGGACCCGCGUCUGAUUAGCUAGUUGGUGAGGUAACGGCUUACCAAGGCAACGAUCAGUAGCCGACUUGAGAGAGUGAUCGGCCACAUUGGGACUGAGACACGGCCCAAACUCCUACGGGAGGCAGCAGUGGGGAAUAUUGCACAAUGGGGGAAACCCUGAUGCAGCGACGCCGCGUGAAGGAAGAAGUAUUUCGGUAUGUAAACUUCUAUCAGCAAGGAAGAAAAUGACGGUACUUGACUAAGAAGCCCCGGCUAAAUACGUGCCAGCCGCCGCCGUAA